AGUGGCGGACGGGUGAGUAACGCGUGAGAAUCUGCCUUCAGGAUGGGGACAACAGUUGGAAACGACUGCUAAUACCCAAUAUGCCUACGGGUGAAACCUUUUUUGGCCUGAAGAUGAGCUCGCGUCUGAUUAGCUAGUUGGUGGUGUAAUGGACUACCAAGGCGACGAUCAGUAGCUGGUCUGAGAGGAUGAGCAGCCACACUGGGACUGAGACACGGCCCAGACUCCUACGGGAGGCAGCAGUGGGGAAUUUUCCGCAAUGGGCGAAAGCCUGACGGAGCAAUACCGCGUGAGGGAGGAAGGUUCUUGGAUUGUAAACCUCUUUUCUCAGGGAAGAAUUUUGACGGUACCUGAAUAAGCAUCGGCUAACUCCGUGCCAGCAGCCGCGGUAAUACGGGGGAUGCAAGCGUUAUCCGGAAUUAUUGGGCGUAAAGAGUCCGUAGGUGGUCAUGCAAGUCUGCUGUCAAAGCCCACAGCUCAACUGUGGAUCGGCGGUGGAAACUGUGUGACUUGAGUAUGGUAGGGGUAGAGGGAAUUCCCAGUGUAGCGGUGAAAUGCGUAGAUAUUGGGAAGAACACCGGUGGCGAAAGCGCUCUACUGGACCAUAACUGACACUGAGGGACGAAAGCCAAGGUAGCGAAAGGGAUUAGAUACCCC
rnacentral:rRNA from 1 species